rnacentral:rRNA from 1 species
AUGAACGCUGGCGGCGUGCCUAAUACAUGCCAGUCGAGCGAACGGACGAGAAGCUUGCUUCUCUGAUGUUAGCGGCGGACGGGUGAGUAACACGUGGAUAACCUACCUAUAAGACUGGGAUAACUUCGGGAAACCGGAGCUAAUACCGGAUAAUAUUUUGAACCGCAUGGUUCAAAAGUGAAAGACGGUCUUGCUGUCACUUAUAGAUGGAUCCGCGCUGCAUUAGCUAGUUGGUAAGGUAACGGCUUACCAAGGCAACGAUGCAUAGCCGACCUGAGAGGGUGAUCGGCCACACUGGAACUGAGACACGGUCCAGACUCCUACGGGAGGCAGCAGUAGGGAAUCUUCCGCAAUGGGCGAAGGCCUGACGGAGCAACGCCGCGUGAGUGAUGAAGGUCUUCGGAUCGUAAAACUCUGUUAUUAGGGAAGAACAUAUGUGUAAGUAACUGUGCACAUCUUGACGGUACCUAAUCAGAAAGCCACGGCUAACUACGUG